AGAAUUUAAGUUAAUGAACUUGUAUAAGUAUAUACUUUGAAAGUAUAAAAAAGAAAUUUUAAUUUUCUAUUAACUUUAGUACUAAAUUUAAUCAGCUAAACAUUUAUUCUAAACAAAUAAACUCUCAAAGAAAAAUAAAAUAAUAAUAAAUUUAAAGAAACUGGCAAAUAACUUUUUCAAGCUAAAUAUAUUAA
rnacentral:tRNA from 1 species